rnacentral:misc_RNA from 1 species
AGGCUGACAUAUUUUGGUUCAUCCCAUUUGUAAAAUCUACACUUGAGUGCGGGCUCCAGUUUCUGGUAGCUAAAUUGAGUUUUUCCUCCGGCCAUGUUGCUGAAAUCCUAUCAAAGAAGUAACCAUUGGUUGCACUACAAAUAAUUCCAUUCAGCGGACUAUUUGUGCACCCAGAUAAUGAUUGAGAACCCUCAUUACCACUUAAUUCAUCAACAGGUGUAGGAGGAUGAUUGGCAACAGAGACUUCGUCAAGAUGGUUAUCGAGCCCAUUCUGCUCUCCAGAACAUGCAUCUUGUAGCCCCCAUGCGUCCCCCACACCAGGCCAUGGGAUGGCCACAGACACAUCUUGACAGUGGAAAUGCUCGUAUGAACGUGUUACAGUAACACCUUUGCUUCUGCAAGGAUCAGACUCAUGCCUCCACACAUAAACAUAUGAAUCCUCACUGGCAGAGACUACAUAUUUCCCAUUUGCUGUGAGGGAGGCUGAGAUUUGGCUGCUGGUGUUACGAAACCCUUUGAACUUGUGA